rnacentral:sRNA from 1 species
GUGGUUGGGAAAGAGAAAAAAACGCUGUACCAGACUUAGCCCGGACGUAGUUUACGGUAAUAUUUAGUUUAGUGGUAGGAACACGAGGCAACAUUACCAACAGUCUAAAGUAGCAUUUAGUUUAGGGUAGCAUUUUUUUAUUAGAAUAAGGGCUAGAGAUAGGUUAUUCUUAGUCAGAUUUUGUUUAUGGGUUAGGCUUAGCCAGGUCUAAAGUAGCAUUUAGUUAAGGGUAGCAUUUUUUUUAUUAGAAUAAGGGCUAGAGAUAGAUUAGGCUUAUUUAGAUUUUGUUUAGAAUAAAGAGUAGAGAUAGGUUAGGCUUAGUCAGGUC